GCCAUCUACAAUGAAGGACCUGGAGGAGCAUGGCUUCGAGAUGGAGAUGGAGCUGGAGGAGGCUUCGGCACCCACGCCCUUGUUGUUGUUGUUGUUGGUGCACUGCAAUUCAAGGCUCAUUAUGUUCUCAUAAUACAGUGGGGCACAUGGUUGUGUCAUUCCAGACAUGUGGAUGUGGAGGGGAAGGCAGGAGAGAGUGAGGAUAGAGGGAGGCGAGGAAGAAUGGCGGAGGAGGAGGAGGAGACAUACCUCGGCAGGAACGCGGACGUAGAAGUCUCCGUAGGCGGAGUUGGAGGUUCUCCAGUGCAAUGGCUUGCAUGGUGCAGGUGGCAGCAGUUGCACUGGGAACCCAAACAGAUUGCGAGUUAAUUAUGCAAUUCUCUACGUCGACAGGAUUUGAUGCACCCUCGGUUCCAAUUUCAUUUCAUUUUCAUUCUCAUUUCAUGUCCAUGUUCAUGUUCUGUGAGGUUUAGUGGGAGUAUCUAUGUGUUGUUGUGAGUUUCCGUUACUUGGGUCUUGCAAAAGAGGCUCUCGAGCCACUAGGAGGAGGAUUUCUAGGUGUAGUUGACAUUCAGGAGGAUAUAACGAGGUUUUGUUUGUUAAUUUUGUUAUUUAUUCAUUUAUGUUUGGAUGGACCUAUUUCUCUCAUCGAGGGGUUUCAAGCUAUGUCUAGUAUAGUUCUCAAGGGCAUGGCAAGGGCCACCCUGGUGCGAUUGAACACACCACCUCAAAGGAUAAACAAGCAGCAUACAUCUUGAAUGAGGCAUACAUCUUGAAUGAGACCAGACAAGCAGGAUGCGUGUAAUUUUUUUUUGUCAGCUCUUGGGUUCACCUGAUCCAACAUGACCUGUUUUUCAGCAAUCCUUUUUCUGCAACCCACAAGUAGGAAAAAGGAUUCACACUCAUGAGCACGACCAUUCAACGGAUGCCCAUGUCGGACAUGCCUCAGAGACCUGUGACGAGGUUCAACAGCAACAAGUCUCAGAAUCCUUCAAGCAUUUGGUGAUCAAUAGAGGAUGUUGAGUAUGUACCCAUCGGUAGAGCCACCACUCAUCAGCCUUGCCAAGACGAACGGGUAACCCUAGCAAUGGCAGCAGGUGCUAUCACAACUUGUACUGACAUGGUUGGAUUAUCUGAGAAUCAUUCCUUUUCCAGCACCACUUAAGAAUCUUCUAUCAGUGGACUGCAACAGGCUGAGUUCAAGUCGUAGUGCAUGGCGUGGUCCUCGGCCCCCAAAUUGAUAUGGUAGUUCAAAGCUUGCAGGAAUCAUCUACAAUCAACUCAGCUGGCCAGUUGAACCUCGGGUCUCCACAUGAAGAGGCGAAAAGAACCAAGCAAGGCUUCUCAAGCGUGCUCUCAAACCGAUGAGAAGAUGGCGAUUCCUACAGCCGGUUCAUGGUGAUUCGGGGCACUCAUCGUUUGGCGGAUACGAAAGGCACCAGGGCAUGGGAAGAGGCAAGCCCGAUGAUGUCCAGUGAUGUCUCGGAGCUUUUUGACCAAAUUGGUGGCACUUGAAAGGACAAUUUCCAUUCAUGCGACCCUUGGGACCGUGGAAACAGAAAACUGUCACAUUCCCAACAGCGUUCAACAUCCGUAACUGUAUCAACUCCGCUGUAUCCGAUUGCGAUUUUCUCAACUGGCAAUCCAGAUGAGUGUACUUUCCACCCGUGAGUCAAUCCAACAUGAAAAAAUAGUAUGUACAUAUAUGUGUGUACGUAUAAAUUGUGGCUCAAAUUGUGGUAUAUUCACUUUUCUUAAUACUUUUCUCUAUUCUAUUUAGCCGCUGGAAAAGUUUUCUGUGCACUGGCAACACUAUUGCGAAUGUUGACACAAGUAAGCCGAUUGAAGAGAGGGUAUUUUGAAGUCAUCUAAAAGGAAUACAGGUAGAAUUUGCCGACCUCAUGAAAGUUUUCAUGCAGUGGGAAGAUGGAAUCCACAUGCAUCCAUCUUAUUACAAAAUAGAUUGAAGAUUUAGUUAAUUAGGCUCUGGUUUUCCGUGUGUGUCCGCUCAUGAGAUGAUUCCAGAAUAGGUUGUUUUCAUCUCCUGAACGUUGGAACAAUACAACUCUUGGGAAAUAUUGUAACCUGUGAGGUUCAGGAUGAUCAAAUGUUUGGUGUAAAAACUCCAACAUCAGAGUGGUGAUAUGGAUAAUAAUGAGCUGAGACAAAUGGGUGUUUCUGGGUGGCAAGUUUUCUGGUCUUUCGAUUAAGAUUAUUUUGAUUUCAUUACAGUUUCAACAAUCAAUUUUA